AAGAUCUGGAUCAUCUUCGCAAGCUUUUUGAUCGCCAUUGUCGUUAUUUUUGAAGCUAUGCAAUUUUUUAAUCUCGCCCAAUUCAUGCAGAAAUUGUAGAGUCGUAAUAUAUUUAUAUGUAUAGUAAGCGUGGGUAGCACAAAGAAUUUCCGACUCCAAAUCAGCCUGCUUCGGUCUUUUCUUGAAUACUUCAUCCCUCAAAACAGAUUUUAUUUUAAGAGCAACAAUGCUCUGGUUGUCACAAAUUUUCUGAACUGCCUUGUGUAUGUUUGAGUGAGGGUGGUAAAAUUCAUUAUCUAAUUUACUGUUGUAGCUCUCUACUCCGUUGGUGGUUGUAAAUUGAGAGCUGGUAAAUGCGCAAGCCCACAUUGUUGGGGGAAACCGUGAGGUCUCAAGAAUAUAAUUCCUCUGAAGAUAACCUGCGAAUUUAAGGCACUCAGGAUGGGUAGCUAUGGAUAAAAGCUGUUGAAAAGCUGAAUAAAAGUAAACAUUUCUCAUUUUCAUCGUACACAGUUGCCAAAUAGUGCAUUAUUGGAAAGUGUGUGGAAAUGAAAGUGUGUGGUAAUGAAAUUCACCAAAACUGUGUGGUAGUGAAAUUGUGUGGAAACGAUACGCAGCCGUUCCGUUGGAUGAGUGGAUGGCCUUUUUUUUUGCAGAGCCGGCGACCAAAGGCCAAUAUUCCAGCGGCGGUGGCGGCGGGAGGAAAAGCCGUAUGAUGGGGCCGCGUCACGGACACGGCUCGGCCUUCCGCCCGUUUCACAGGGCGCCACCGGAGGCGCAUCAAAGCAGCAGAUUGGAUCUCCCACGACUCGCCAUGUUCUCGCCGCCGACUCUCCUCCAACUUCCCGCCCACCACAGCUUUUCCUCGCCCACCCUCGCCAGCCUCGGGGGUGGAACGGCUAUGGUGGGCUACGGUCAUGGGCAACCAUCCUAUCAACCACUCCAGGCUACAGCCUCAUCGACAGCAUUUCAGCUUAAUUCGCUUUUAUUUCAGCAAACUCCUUCCUGUCUUAUACCUCAUUGUUCUGAGUGUUUGUCAGAAGAUUCUUAGAGAUUAUGAAUUGAAGCCGAAUAAUUUGGAAUAAGAGCAAACGUGCUCAGCGUAGUCAAUGAUUUGAAUUCGAGGUUCCAAAAAUCGUAAUUUAGGGGUGAAGAAAUGCCUGAAAACCACCGAAGAAUCGUGUGUGAAAAAGUACGCACGUUCAAAAUUUACAAUCGCACUAACCAGGUAUUGCGAUGCUAAAUUUGAAGGAAACUUGAAUUUUAUUACUUAAGUACAUAAAAUGUUGAGGACUACCAGAUCAGUUUUUUAAAUGGUCAAUAUUAAAUCGUUUUUUUAAUAGGUAUGUGCAAUAUUUUAGUAAAGGAGUUUACAAUAUUAUAAGUAUUGGAUAUUUUUCAAAUGCCCAGUGGGUUAAAUUAUCGGGAAACACGUCAUCAUUACAUUGCAGAACAAUUGCAAACGCGGAGAUAGGAUAUUCUUGUGCAAAAUAAGGUAUGUACAUCGGAAAACUGUAGUGAAUCUAUUUAUUGAAGGGAAAGAGUGGAUUUAAGGAAUGGAAUGGUUGGUUGAGUCUUUUACGUUCCAAAAAGCUACCAUAAUGGAGGACAAAGCGGCAGGGAAGACCACGAUGUGGUCUACAGUAGACGGAUAUUUUUUUUUCGAAUUCCUCAUGAAGAUAGACAUGGGUUGUGCAAUACCUACUCACUUAGCUUUUUUCUUCAAAAUUUCAAGUGCAGAUAGACUUAUUAUGUUUAAUGCGUCAGUUUAUCCAAAAUGUUUACCCAUUUUUUUUAAAAUGACUAUAAUAUUAUGGUUUAUUUUAUGGUUUAUUGUUUAUCAACUGCUGAUAACUGCAAGCGUACCCAUUCAUUAGUUGUAAUCGAAAUGUUUAGAGAAUAUCAGAAUGAAAUAAACUCAGU
rnacentral:lncRNA from 1 species